rnacentral:tRNA from 2 species
UGGGGAGUAGUGUAACGGCAGCACACGGGACUUUGGAUCCCUUAGUGGAGGUUCGAGUCCUCCCUCCCCAGCCA